UCCGAAGGGGGCUAGCGUUGUUCGGAAUUACUGGGCGUAAAGCGCACGUAGGCGGAUUCUUAAGUCAGGUGUGAAAUCCCGGGGCUCAACCUCGGAACUGCAUUUGAAACUGGGAAUCUAGAGACCAGGAGAGGUUAGCGGAAUACCGAGUGUAGAGGUGAAAUUCGUAGAUAUUCGGUGGAACACCAGUGGCGAAGGCGGCUAACUGGACUGGUACUGACGCUGAGGUGCGAAAGUGUGGGGAGAAAACAGG
rnacentral:rRNA from 1 species